rnacentral:hammerhead_ribozyme from 1 species
AUACAGCAGACGAGUUUCAAAUAGGACGAAACGUGCGUCCUGGAU